AUUGAUACAAGCAUGCAGGAAAUUCAAAUUUGACUUCUCUUCUUCUUGUUUUCUUAGGGAGGUAAACUGAGAAGAAGAUGGGGAUUAAAUCCCCUAAAAUGGACUCACUAGAGGGCUCUCAAGUCUGUAUCCCUUGGAGAAGUCACAAACUGAGACAGAUGUGCUGCUGCCUGGAAUUGUUGUGUGCAUGGUGACCUGUCUCUCAAAGAUGGAGUAGUCAGUUCCCCUGCCUCACAGAAUGAAGG
rnacentral:lncRNA from 1 species